AAGUCUAUACUUUGAGGGUUCAUUUCUAUACUGUCAAACUAGAGAGGUGCAAUCAAAAGUGAUUGGAUGAGCAAACCAUAAGGAGUCAAAUUGUUCUCUUCUGAGCAGGAAGUGAGUGAGAAAUGCUACAUUUAAGCAGCUGCUGUUUACUGUGGAUGACCUUUCUGCUUUCCUUUUUUAAGGCAGUUGGAGAGGGAGAACACAGACUGAGUAGG